rnacentral:rRNA from 1 species
AGAUUAAGUUAUUAAGGGCGCACGGUGGAUGCCUUGGCACUAGAAGCCGAUGAAGGACGUUACUAACGACGAUAUGCUUUGGGGAGCUGUAAGUAAGCUUUGAUCCAGAGAUUUCCGAAUGGGGAAACCCAGCAUGAGUUAUGUCAUGUUAUCGAUAUGUGAAUACAUAGCAUAUCAGAAGGCACACCCGGAGAACUGAAACAUCUUAGUACCCGGAGGAAGAGAAAGAAAAUUCGAUUCCCUUAGUAGCGGCGAGCGAAACGGGAAGAGCCCAAACCAACAAGCUUGCUUGUUGGGGUUGUAGGACACUCUAUACGGAGUUACAAAGGACGACAUUAGACGAAUCAUCUGGAAAGAUGAAUCAAAGAAGGUAAUAAUCCUGUAGUCGAAAAUGUUGUCUCUCUUGAGUGGAUCCUGAGUACGACGGAGCACGUGAAAUUCCGUCGGAAUCUGGGAGGACCAUCUCCUAAGGCUAAAUACUCUCUAGUGACCGAUAGUGAACCAGUACCGUGAGGGAAAGGUGAAAAGCACCCCGGAAGGGGAGUGAAAUAGAACCUGAAACCGUGUGCUUACAAGUAGUCAGAGCCCGUUAAUGGGUGAUGGCGUGCCUUUUGUAGAAUGAACCGGCGAGUUACGAUUUGAUGCAAGGUUAAGCAGUAAAUGUGGAGCCGUAGCGAAAGCGAGUCUGAAUAGGGCGUUUAGUAUUUGGUCGUAGACCCGAAACCAGGUGAUCUACCCUUGGUCAGGUUGAAGUUCAGGUAACACUGAAUGGAGGACCGAACCGACUUACGUUGAAAAGUGAGCGGAUGAACUGAGGGUAGCGGAGAAAUUCCAAUCGAACCUGGAGAUAGCUGGUUCUCUCCGAAAUAGCUUUAGGGCUAGCCUCAAGUGAUGAUUAUUGGAGGUAGAGCACUGUUUGGACGAGGGGCCCCUCUCGGGUUACCGAAUUCAGACAAACUCCGAAUGCCAAUUAAUUUAACUUGGGAGUCAGAACAUGGGUGAUAAGGUCCGUGUUCGAAAGGGAAACAGCCCAGACCACCAGCUAAGGUCCCAAAAUAUAUGUUAAGUGGAAAAGGAUGUGGCGUUGCCCAGACAACUAGGAUGUUGGCUUAGAAGCAGCCAUCAUUUAAAGAGUGCGUAAUAGCUCACUAGUCGAGUGACACUGCGCCGAAAAUGUACCGGGGCUAAACAUAUUACCGAAGCUGUGGAUUGUCCUUUGGACAAUGGUAGGAGAGCGUUCUAAGGGCGUUGAAGCAUGAUCGUAAGGACAUGUGGAGCGCUUAGAAGUGAGAAUGCCGGUGUGAGUAGCGAAAGACGGGUGAGAAUCCCGUCCACCGAUUGACUAAGGUUUCCAGAGGAAGGCUCGUCCGCUCUGGGUUAGUCGGGUCCUAAGCUGAGGCCGACAGGCGUAGGCGAUGGAUAACAGGUUGAUAUUCCUGUACCACCUAUAAUCGUUUUAAUCGAUGGGGGGACGCAGUAGGAUAGGCGAAGCGUGCGAUUGGAUUGCACGUCUAAGCAGUAAGGCUGAGUAUUAGGCAAAUCCGGUACUCGUUAAGGCUGAGCUGUGAUGGGGAGAAGACAUUGUGUCUUCGAGUCGUUGAUUUCACACUGCCGAGAAAAGCCUCUAGAUAGAAAAUAGGUGCCCGUACCGCAAACCGACACAGGUAGUCAAGAUGAGAAUUCUAAGGUGAGCGAGCGAACUCUCGUUAAGGAACUCGGCAAAAUGACCCCGUAACUUCGGGAGAAGGGGUGCUCUUUAGGGUUAACGCCCAGAAGAGCCGCAGUGAAUAGGCCCAAGCGACUGUUUAUCAAAAACACAGGUCUCUGCUAAACCGUAAGGUGAUGUAUAGGGGCUGACGCCUGCCCGGUGCUGGAAGGUUAAGAGGAGUGGUUAGCUUCUGCGAAGCUACGAAUCGAAGCCCCA